rnacentral:rRNA from 1 species
GAUGAACGCUAGCGACAGGCUUAACACAUGCAAGUCGAGGGGCAGCACAGGUAGCAAUACCGGGUGGCGACCGGCGCACGGGUGAGUAACGCGUAUGCAACUUGCCUAUCAGAGGGGGAUAACCCGGCGAAAGUCGGACUAAUACCGCAUGAAGCAGGGGCCCCGCAUGGGGAUAUUUGCUAAAGAUUCAUCGCUGAUAGAUAGGCAUGCGUUCCAUUAGGCAGUUGGCGGGGUAACGGCCCACCAAACCGACGAUGGAUAGGGGUUCUGAGAGGAAGGUCCCCCACAUUGGUACUGAGACACGGACCAAACUCCUACGGGAGGCAGCAGUGAGGAAUAUUGGUCAAUGGGCGCGAGCCUGAACCAGCCAAGUCGCGUGAGGGAUGAAGGUUCUAUGGAUCGUAAACCUCUUUUAUAAGGGAAUAAAGUGCGGGACGUGUCCCGUUUUGUAUGUACCUUAUGAAUAAGGAUCGGCUAACUCCGUGCCAGCCGCCGCGGUAA